GGGAGGGGUAGGUGGAAGUGAACGUUGGAGAGGAAGAGAGAGUUACUGGAGAAAGAAAGACGUACCUGUUGGCAAAUGACAGAGGUCUAAAUUUAAGACAACUGGCUUAAGAUUGUACUAAAAGAGACUCAAUGAAGGAUCAAACCCCCUGACAGAAGUGCACACCUAAUUCAGCUUAUUCUUCAGUAUUUCAGAGGUCAACAGAUUAGUAUUUGGAUAAAGUAACACUUUUUGAAAACUCAAAAGCACGUCUGAUUUAUGGAGUUAAAUUUGGCCUUAGAAAAACUUUUGCACUGGCUUAAUGGUUGCAUUUUGUUAUUUCUAUCAAUGUUUCCCCUCUCAGAAACCCCCCCN
rnacentral:lncRNA from 1 species